rnacentral:lncRNA from 1 species
UGCAUAAACCAAGAUAUAUGAUUAAUAUUCAAGAGUAGACAUGAACCCAACUACCGUGUCUUGAUGAAAACAGCCCAUGGACAUCACAAAAAAUCAAAGUCAUGAAAAGAAAACCGUUUCAAACAAGUAACCAACACCAUGACUAAAACUAAAAAAUUAUUAGUCGACCUCCUCCAUCUUGCUCUCGGCAUCAACUUCAGCAUCUUCCAGAGCAGGCACGUCAGCAUCCUCAUCCGCGUCCUCAUCAAUGCUCAACCCAAGUUUCAACAUCCUGUGAAUCCUGUUGCCAAACGUGUUGGGUUCAUCAAGGCUGAACCCAGAUGUCAGCAAUGCGGUCUCAAACAGCAACAGCACAAGAUCCUUAACAGACUUGUCGUUUUUGUCAGCAUCAGCCCGCUUCCUCAAUUCCUCCAUGAUCGCGUUCUCAGGGUUGAUCUCCAUGGUCUUCUUGCUAGACAUGUAACCAGCCAUGCUUGAAUCCCUUAAAGCCUGGGCCUUCAUGAUUCUUUCCAUGUUAGCAGUCCACCCGUAUUCACCUGUAACCAAACAGCAAGGGGAAUCCACCACACGGUCUGAAACAACCACCUUUUCAACCUUGUCACCCAACACAUCCUUCAUCACCUUGCACAGACCCUCGAAUUUUUCCUUCAAAGCUUCCUGCUUUGCCUUCUCAUCUUCGGUUUCUUCAAGCUUCAACCCCUCUUUGGUUGCAGAAACCAGUUUCUUACCCUCAAACUCCUUCAACUGACCAACUGAAUACUCGUCAAUCGCAUCCACCAUGUACAACACCUCGUACCCCUUUUUCUUCAGUUUCUCCAAGAAAGGAGAGUUCUCAACUGCCUUCUUGCUCUCACCAGUAAUGUAGUAAAUGUCGUUUUGACCCUCUUUCAUUCUGGUCACGUAGUCCUUCAAGCUGGUCAUCUCAUCACCGCUCUUGGUGGAAUGAUAUCGUAGCAAUUCAGCUAGCUUGGCUUUGUUCUGAGAAUCCUCAUGGAUACCCAACUUAAGGUUCUUGGAGAACGCUUCAUAGAACUUGUUGUAAUCCUCCUUGUUCUCAGCAAUCUCUUGAAAUAGCUCAAUACACUUCUUGACCAAAUUCUUUCGGAUCACCUUCAAAAUCUUGUUUUGCUGCAACAUUUCUCUAGAGAUGUUAAGUGGAAGAUCCUCAGAAUCCACAAUACCCUUUACAAAACUCAAGUAUUCGGGAAUGAGUUCUUCACAGUUAUCCAUGAUGAACACACGUCGAACAUAUAGCUUGAUGUUGUUCUGCUUCUUCUUUGUGUCAAAGAGAUCGAAAGGAGCCCGUUUGGGGACAAAAAGAAUGGCUUUGAAUUCAAGUUGACCUUCAACCGAGAAGUGCUUCACGUUCAAGUGCUCUUCCCAGUCGUUGGUUAGACUCUUGUAGAAAGCAGCAUAUUCUUCUUUGGUGAUUUCUUCGGGCUUCCUCAUCCAAAUGGGCUUUUGUUUGUUUACCAACUCCCAUUCGUUUGUCACUUCCUUGAUCUUCUUCUUUUUCUUCUCUUCGAUCUCCUUGUUGCUGUAAAACGUGUUGAUGAUGAGACUCAACAGCUGGUUGAUCUCUGCUUGAAAGGCAAACGUCUCUGUGUCCGCCAUUGAUGAAAUCGCUCAACAGAGAGAAAAUUAACAGAGAAUGAUGAAAUUUGAGAGACGUUAGGAGGAUUUGAAGGAGGAAU